UAAUCUGGUAAAAAAUACGAAGAUGCUAAAACACAUAGAUUUCAUGAUACCCAUCAACUCCUUCAUGUCAUACACACAUCACAGACAAAAAUUUGAUUGGCACAAAUGUAUGGUGCACAGAUAUUUACAUAUACACAACCAGUCUAUCUACCAUAUAAUGAAAAACCCAAAUGCUAUAAACAAUACACACAUCUGAAAUAAAGAAAAUUGAGGAAGACAUUAAACAGAGUAUAUGAAACCUGGGGAGGAACAACAGCGAGAGAGGAUUGGAUUGCAGAAUCAGGAGUGAAAACAGGAGCAUCCUGGAGGUUGAAGGACAUAGAAGGACCUAUGAAUAGAAGAGGGUUAAACGAAAGACACCAUUUUUAGAGAUGGUUUUGGCUUUUGGAUCUCUCCAUCAGCUGCUCUGCUUUUUGAAAAUAGACUAAAAGGAUUUCCAGAAGCAAAGGAAGAAUUAAACCAGCAUUUGGCCACCUUGAAACUUGAAAAUUAUAAAUUACAAUGUAUGGAUUACAAUGUUCAUUAAAAAUUUAAAAAUCAUUACUUAAAGCCUCUGAAAAAUCAUCAAAUAUAAAUAUGGUUUUGGAAUCUCCUAUAUUUGCAGCUAAGGGAAUAUUUUCCAAAUAAAUCAAAGUUAUAUAAUCCUGCAGGAACUAAUUUAUAACUAUUAAGGGAGUAAAUAUCAAAGUUACAUAGUAUGUAUAAAAAAUAAAAACACAGGUAAGCCAUGCCGAUCACAAUAAAAUUUCAAAGAGUUGCAAAUAAAGUAAUUAUAACUUUUACUGGCCCAGCUGACUAGAUAAAAUUUGCAUCAUUUGACAAAUAUGAUUUAAUUCAACUUAAGAAUAUGUUCAAUUCACUCCACACAAGGAGCAAAGAAGGGUUAGAAAAGAAAGUGGCAAACACAUUUGAUGUUCAACUAUGUAUUUAUCAAUGGAACAAAGUUAAUUAAAGUUUUCAUUUGGGACUGAGAUCUUCUAUAUAAAACUAAACUCCAC
rnacentral:lncRNA from 1 species